rnacentral:lncRNA from 1 species
UGGCAUAGCAAAAGAGCGAGCAGACUAGCAUAGCAAAGAUAGUAGUGAUAUCGAGGGUAUGAUCAUCUUGCCUGAGAUCCCGCAAGGAAGAAGAACGAGUCCAUGAAGAAGACAAAUGGAUGUAGUCGAACGGGUCCUCACAAUCAUGACGUUAUCGGAACCAACCUGAAGAAGCAACACCGGAAAGAAGCAAACAACAUGGUAAACAACCACCACAUAUACAUGGCAUGAUGCACAAUCAAGUAUGAUGCAUGUCCGGUUUAAUGAAGCAUGGCAUGACAAAGUGCACAAACAACCCUACAAGUUAAGUGGAGCUCAAUAUGCAACGAGUUGCAUAUUGACGGAGCACCACAUCAAUUAUUUAGUUCGAUCUCGUUUAUGUACCCAACAAUAUUAAAUGUUGUUAAACAUGGCAAGAGAGUGAAGCAAAGCAAAACUACCUAUCUAGUCAAGUUUAAAUGAGGCCGGGAACAACAAACAACAAAUUCCGGUAAAUCCCCAUAUGCAUAUUUUAGAUUAGGACCUGUUCUGCCCUAAACACAAUUUUAGGGUUGUUUAACAUGCAAAUAAAGGUCACCAUGUUAAACUAGGCAUUUUUCUACCCCAUUUACAUAUAAAGUUUAUUAAAAUCGGAGUUACGGUUAUUUAGUUAUGAAUUAAAUCAUUUUAACAUGGCAUAGGAGCAAAUUUAACCAAACAACAUUUUAAGCAUUUAAAACAUGGGUCAAAGUGACAUAUUAUUAAACUAGACAAAAUUCUGAGCAAGUUUCAUAUAUAAAUCAUUUUAAUCCGAUGCACGAAUUGUGAGUUAUUAUAUGCAUGACAACCAGGGGGUUUUCUGUAAAACUGCAAUGCUCUGGAUAAUGGACAAAUUCGUAGACGCUGGAAAAAAACAUGAUAUGGGCUGAAUCUGGCUGGCCCGACAGGAGCACUGGGUGCGGCUUGGGGUUCUCUCACCAUGGGACAAGCCCAGAACCGUGGAGAGGGCGCUGGGGCAGGCCGGCUGGGCCUUGCGGGCUGCUGCGGGACUUGGCGCUCCCAAGGCCACGCGGAAGCGACGCGCUGCGGGCGCGGUCAACGCGCCUGACCGGAUCGAGCCAUGCUCGAUGCAGGGGAAGCAAAGGGCGACGGCAGCGGGUCUCGGCGCGGGGAAGGAGGCAGACGGCGGACGCGGCAGGAGGUGGGGCCCACGGGCUGACGACGUCACGGACGCGAGCGGAGGAGCUCGUUGCCCACGGCCAUGGCUGCUCUCCUGUGCAACAAAACGACGACAGAACGGGGGAAAUCAACAGCGACGCGAGGGAAAAGGCAGGGGGAAACGGUGGAGGAGCUUGCCCACGGCUCCGGUUAGCUCGAGGAUCUCCGGCGAUGAAGAGGGCGUUCCACGAUGGAGCUUCGUUCGGUUCCCUGGGAGCAAAAGAGAGAGAGAGAUUAGAGAGGGAGAGAAGCAGGGGGAUAAAGAAGAGAAGGCAGGGCGUGAAGGGGCCGGCCUGGAGGAGCUUGGAGCUGCUGACGG